AACGAACGCUGGCGGCAUGCCUAACACAUGCAAGUCGAACGAGGCCUUCGGGUCUAGUGGCGCACGGGUGCGUAACGCGUGGGAACCUGCCCUUAGGUUCGGAAUAACUCCCCGAAAGGGGUGCUAAUACCGGAUAAUGUCUUCGGACCAAAGAUUUAUCGCCUUUGGAUGGGCCCGCGUUGGAUUAGCUAGUUGGUAGGGUAAAAGCCUACCAAGGCGACGAUCCAUAGCUGGUCUGAGAGGAUGAUCAGCCACACUGGGACUGAGACACGGCCCAGACUCCUACGGGAGGCAGCAGUGGGGAAUAUUGGACAAUGGGCGAAAGCCUGAUCCAGCAAUGCCGCGUGAGUGAUGAAGGCCCUAGGGUUGUAAAGCUCUUUUACCCGGGAUGAUAAUGACAGUACCGGGAGAAUAAGCUCCGGCUAACUCCGUG
rnacentral:rRNA from 1 species